UCAAGUAAUUAAGUGCAUGUGGUGGAUGCCUUGGCAGUCAGAGGCGAUGAAAGACGUGAUAGCCUGCGAAAAGCUCCGGGGAGGCGGCAAAUAUCCUUUGAUCCGGAGAUGUCUGAAUGGGGGAACCCACCUACUUUAAGGUAGGUAUUGCAACAUGAAUACAUAGUGUUGCAAGGCGAACGAGGGGAAGUGAAACAUCUCAGAACCUGUUCACAAUCUUUUCAGCAACAAAGCGAUGAAAGCAAGAUUGGUAAAUUGAAGGCUCGAAUUUAAAAGACGCUCACAGUUUUUCCAUAGACGUCUAUUUUUCUCAAGCCAAGCAAACGAACGUUCUACAACCCAUCGCUUUGGUAUGACUUUAAACGUAUGCAGUUCAUCUCUUUUGGCGACUUCUGUGGUAACGGUUUCGCCUAAAAGGGUCUUUACACUAUUGGCAAAUGCCUCACCUCGAUAACCGCCAUCAACCAUCACAUUUUUUACGCGGCUUAAUCGUUUGGUAUUUUGACGAAGUAACGUUUUAGCACCCUCACGGUCGGUGAUAUUGGCAGUGGUAAUACAGAUAGCAUGCGGCAAACCUUGGCUAUCUACCGCAAUAUGGCGCUUAAUCCCUGAUACUUUCUUUCCUGCGUCAUAGCCUUUGUGUUUAGCCGUGUCGGUAUUUUUUACGCUUUGAGCAUCAAUGAUGAUAAAACUGGUUUUGCUCUUACGUUUGUCCUUCUUUCGCGCUUUUUUGACCAAUUUUUUUUAAGGCUUGGUCAAGAAUGCUGUUGCCUUCUUCGUCAAGCUCGCUCCAUUUCUGAAAGUACGAGUGGACGGUGCGCCAUUUGGGAAAGUCAUGGGGCAGCUGUCGCCAUUGGCAACCUGUUCUUAGUACAUACAAUAACCCACAAAAUACGUCAUAAAGGUCAACCGUUCUUGGUUUGGUCUUUUUCCUUGCACUUUCUAGAAUGGGUAGUAUGUGCUCAAAUUGUUUUCGGCUAAUGUCGCUUGGAUAGGCUUUUCUCAUGGUGAAUUAUUCGGUUAUUAAUCGAUUAUGUGGCUUAUCCUAGCAUAUUUUUUAAUCGUGAACAGGUUCUCAGUACCCUUAGGAAAAGAAAUCAAUUGAGAUUCCCUCAGUAGCGGCGAGCGAACGGGGAUCAGCCCAUUAAGUUAUGUGUGUUUUAGUGGAACGCUCUGGGAAGUGCGAACGUAGAGGGUGAUAUUCCCGUACACGAAAGGGCACACAUAAUGAUGACGAGUAGGGCGAGGCACGUGAAACCUUGUCUGAAUAUGGGGGGACCAUCCUCCAAGGCUAAAUACUCCUGACUGACCGAUAGUGAACCAGUACCGUGAGGGAAAGGCGAAAAGAACCCCUGUGAGGGGAGUGAAAUAGAUCCUGAAACCGCAUGCAUACAAGCAGUGGGAGCACCUUCGUGGUGUGACUGCGUACCUUUUGUAUAAUGGGUCAGCGACUUAUAUUCAGUAGCGAGGUUAACCGUAUAGGGGAGCCGUAGAGAAAUCGAGUCUUAAUAGGGCGUUUAGUUGCUGGGUAUAGACCCGAAACCAGGCGAUCUAUCCAUGAGCAGGUUGAAGGUUGGGUAACACUAACUGGAGGACCGAACCCACUGUCGUUGAAAAGCCAGGGGAUGACUUGUGGAUAGGGGUGAAAGGCUAAUCAAGCCUGGUGAUAGCUGGUUCUCCCCGAAAGCUAUUUAGGUAGCGCCUCGGACGAAUACCAUAGGGGGUAGAGCACUGUUUCGGCUAGGGGGUCAUCCCGACUUACCAAACCGAUGCAAACUCCGAAUACCUAUGAGUACUAUCCGGGAGACAGACUGCGGGUGCUAACGUCCGUAGUCAAGAGGAAAACAAUCCAGACCGCCAGCUAAGGCCCCAAAAUCAUAGUUAAGUGGGAAACGAUGUGGGAAGGCAUAGACAGCUAGGAGGUUGGCUUAGAAGCAGCCACCCUUUAAAGAAAGCGUAAUAGCUCACUAGUCGAGUCGGCCUGCGCGGAAGAUGUAACGGGGCUAAAACUAUGUGCCGAAGCUGCGGAUGUAUACUUUGUAUACGUGGUAGGGGAGCGUUCUGUAAGCCGAUGAAGGUGUGUUGAGAAGCAUGCUGGAGGUAUCAGAAGUGCGAAUGCUGACGUGAGUAACGACAAAACGGGUGAAAAACCCGUUCGCCGAAAGACCAAGGGUUCCAGUCCAACGUUAAUCGGGGCUGGGUGAGUCGACCCCUAAGGCGAGGCCGAAAGGCGUAGUCGAUGGGAAAAUGGUUAAUAUUCCAUUACUUCUGUGUAAUGCGAUGAGAGGACGGAGAAGGCUAAAUCAGCCUGGCGUUGGUUGUCCAGGUGAAAGGAUGUAGGCAUGUAUCUUAGGCAAAUCCGGGGUACUCUAUGCUGAGAUCUGAUAGCAAGCUGUACUUGUACAGCGAAGUGGUUGAUGCCAUGCUUCCAGGAAAAGUCUCUAAGCUUCAGUUACACAGGAAUCGUACCCGAAACCGACACAGGUGGUCAGGUCGAGUAGACCAAGGCGCUUGAGAGAACUCUGCUGAAGGAACUAGGCAAAAUGGUACCGUAACUUCGGGAGAAGGUACGCUGUUGUUGGUGAUGGAACUCGCUUCCUGAGCUGACGACAGCCGCAGAAACCAGGCCGCUGCAACUGUUUAUUAAAAACAUAGCACUCUGCAAACACGAAAGUGGACGUAUAGGGUGUGAUGCCUGCCCGGUGCUGGAAGGUUAAUUGAUGGGGUUAGCGUAAGCGAAGCUCUUGAUCGAAGCCCCAGUAAACGGCGGCCGUAACUAUAACGGUCCUAAGGUAGCGAAAUUCCUUGUCGGGUAAGUUCCGACCUGCACGAAUGGCAUAAUGAUGGCGGCGCUGUCUCCAGCAGAGGCUCAGUGAAAUCGAAAUCGCUGUGAAGAUGCAGUGUACCCGCGGCUAGACGGAAAGACCCCGUGAACCUUUACUGCAGCUUGACACUGAACUUUGACCUUACUUGUGUAGGAUAGGUGGGAGGCUUUGAAGCUGGAACGCUAGUUCCAGUGGAGCCGUCCUUGAAAUACCACCCUGGUAAUGUUGAGGUUCUAACUCUGUCCCGUGAUCCGGGACGAGGACCGUGUCUGGUGGGUAGUUUGACUGGGGCGGUCUCCUCCUAAAGAGUAACGGAGGAGUACGAAGGUGCGCUCAGCGUGGUCGGAAAUCACGCGUAGAGUAUAAAGGCAAAAGCGCGCUUAACUGCGAGACCCACAAGUCGAGCAGGUACGAAAGUAGGUCUUAGUGAUCCGGUGGUUCUGUAUGGAAGGGCCAUCGCUCAACGGAUAAAAGGUACUCUGGGGAUAACAGGCUGAUACCGCCCAAGAGUUCAUAUCGACGGCGGUGUUUGGCACCUCGAUGUCGGCUCAUCUCAUCCUGGGGCUGAAGCAGGUCCCAAGGGUAUGGCUGUUCGCCAUUUAAAGAGGUACGCGAGCUGGGUUUAGAACGUCGUGAGACAGUUCGGUCCCUAUCUACCGUGGGCGCUGGAAAUUUGAGAGGAUCUGCUCCUAGUACGAGAGGACCAGAGUGGACGAACCUCUGGUGUACCGGUUGUGACGCCAGUCGCAUCGCCGGGUAGCUAUGUUCGGAAGGGAUAACCGCUGAAAGCAUCUAAGCGGGAAGCCUACCUCAAGAUAAGAUUUCCCUAGGACUUUAUGUCCUCUAAAGAGCCGUUCGAGACUAGGACGUUGAUAGGUUGGAUGUGGAAGCAUAGUGAUAUGUGAAGCUGACCAAUACUAAUUGCUCGUGAGGCUUGACUAU
rnacentral:rRNA from 1 species